GGAAAAGCUCUGGAAUGGUCACCAGGUGGAGAGAUGAGCAAGGGUUGGUCAACCACAGCCUGCAGAUCAUCAGACAUCAGAUCCUGGAGAUUAGGGAUCCCUGCUCUAAAGUAUAGCAGAGUCAUAAGAUGGAAGAUGCCUGGGUCCCUGCAUUACUUUGGGAAGAAGGCCAGUCGAGUCAUAACACUCCAUUUGACUGCUGGAGCUGUGAGAAACAACGUUAAUCAUGCAGGUAGGAAAGCAGAACAUGUCUGUGGUCUCCUAGUCUCAGAGUGAGGAACGGCCAAUGACUCCCUGCAUCUGUACCUGUGCACACCCCAAAGUGAUACUAGAGUGAUGGAUCACCUCAAAGUGAUUUCAGCAACAAAUCCUCCAAACCCAGAGGAGCAGCUGGGGCAGAUGGGAAAAUUAAAGCACAUAUAUCUGUGUAAGCAACUUGUUCCAGGCUCUCAGAGAGGAGUCACCGGCCCAGACUGGUCUAGAACACUGGUCUCCUGAUGACUUGAAUGCAGGACAGUGACUUUCUCAUUUUUGGAUCCCCUGAUCCUAGCACAGAGCCUGGACCUGGUCCACAGUAACUGUUUAAUAAAUGUUUACUGAAUAGAA
ensembl:lncRNA